AUCCUGGAGUUUUAUUCUAGGUGAUGCCUGCCCGGUGUAAUAAUUAACGGCCGCAGUACUCUGACUGUGCUAAGGUAGCAUAAUUCGUUGGCUUUUAAUUGGAGUCUGUAUGAAUGGCUAAACGUUGAAUCUCUGUCUCUUGUUUAAUUAUUGAAUUUGUUAAUUAGGUGAAAAUACCUAUAAUUUGAGGAAAGACGAGAAGACCCUAAGAAUUUAAAUAUUGUUUUGUUGGGGCAACAUUGAGACAGCUAAAAUUCUCAAUUAUAAAUUAUUAAAUCCGAUUUUUCGUAUAAAAAUAAAUUACCUUAGGGAUAACAGCAUAAUUUAAUAUAAGUUUGUGACCUCGAUGUUGGACUAAGGUUUCUUAGACUAAAAGUUUAAGUAUUUUGCUCUGUUCGAGCAGCUAACCUU
rnacentral:rRNA from 1 species